AACGAACGCUGGCGGCAGGCUUAACACAUGCAAGUCGAGCGCCCCGCAAGGGGAGCGGCAGCCGGGUGAGUAACGCGUGGAAACGUACCUUUUGGUUCGGAACAACUCCGGGAAACUGGAGCUAAUACCGGAUAAGCCCUAACGGGGAAAGAUUUAUCGCCGAAAGAUCGGCCCGCGUCUGAUUAGCUAGUUGGUGAGGUAACGGCUCACCAAGGCGACGAUCAGUAGCUGGUCUGAGAGGAUGAUCAGCCACACUGGGACUGAGACACGGCCCAGACUCCUACGGGAGGCAGCAGUGGGGAAUAUUGGACAAUGGGCGCAAGCCUGAUCCAGCCAUGCCGCGUGAGUGAUGAAGGCCUUAGGGUUGUAAAGCUCUUUUGUCCGGGAAGAUAAUGACUGGACCGGAAGAAUAAGCCCCGGCUAACUUCG
rnacentral:rRNA from 1 species